CGAGAAUCGGCUGCUCGUUCUCGAGCAAGAAGACAGGUUUUGUGUUCAUCAUUCUCUACUCUUUGUUUCAAUUAAUGAUCCUUUACCUAAUGGAAAAUUCUUGUAAUGCAGGCAUACACUGUCGAGCUAGAGGCAGAACUGAAUCAUCUAAAAGAAGAGAAUGAAAAGCUAAAACAAAUUCUGGCUGAAGCAGAGAGCAAGAGGAGACAAGAGCUUUUACAGAGAUCGAAUUCACCAAAGGUUCGAAAGGGAACAGAAAAAUUAAGAGGAAUAAGAAGGCCUAUAAGUGCAACCUGGUGAAUAAGCCUCGACAAGAAGAAUUAAAAAAAUUAGUGUAAAUAUGAAGGGAAAAAAAAUAAUGUGUCUGUACUCAUGAGAAAUUUUACUUGUGUUGUACAUUCUAAUAUAUGGACAAUUGAAAAAAGUUCAGACAUAUGAAUGCUGCUAUUAUCAUACAUUGUUCAUAAAUAUGUAUAGAUUUGAUAAUAAC